rnacentral:rRNA from 1 species
CCUACGGGAGGCAGCAGUGAGGAAUAUUGGUCAAUGGACGCAAGUCUGAACCAGCCAUGCCGCGUGCAGGAAGACGGCUCUAUGAGUUGUAAACUGCUUUUGUACGAGGGUAAACGCAGAUACGCGUAUCUGUCUGACAGUAUCGUACGAAUAAGGCUCGGCUAACUCCGUGACAGCAGCCGCGGUAAUACGGAGGAUUCAAGCGUUAUCCGGAUUUAUUGGGUUUAAAGGGUGCGUAGGCGGUCGGAUAAGUUAGAGGUGAAAUCCCGGGGCUUAACUUCGGAAUUGCCUCUGAUACUGUUCGGCUAGAGAGUAGUUGCAGUAUGCGGAAUGUAUGGUGUAGCGGUGAAAUGCUUAGAGAUCAUACAGAACACCGAUUGCGAAGGCAGCAUACCAGGGUACUUCUGACGUUGAGGCACGAAAGCGUGGGGAGCAAACAGGAUUAGAUACCCCGGUAGUC